rnacentral:rRNA from 1 species
CAGUCGCCGCGGGAACACGGAGGGAGCUAGCGUUGUUCGGAAUUACUGGGCGUAAAGCGCACGUAGGCGGUUAUUCAGGUCAGAGGUGAAAGCCCGGGGCUCAACCCCGGAACUGCCUUUGAAACUAGAUGACUGGAAUCUUGGAGAGGUCAGUGGAAUUCCGAGUGUAGAGGUGAAAUUCGUAGAUAUUCGGAAGAACACCAGUGGCGAAGGCGACUGACUGGACAAGUAUUGACGCUGAGGUGCGAAAGCGUGGGGAGCAAACAGGAUUAGAUACCCGUGUAGUCCCUGUCUCUUAUAC